rnacentral:rRNA from 1 species
UGGGGAAUUUUGCGCAAUGGGCGAAAGCCUGACGCAGCGACGCCGCGUGGGUGACGAAGGCCUUCGGGUCGUAAAGCCCUGUGGGAAGGAACGAACCGACACUGGGACAACACCCCAGUGUCCUGACGGUACCUUUAUAGCAAGCACCGGCUAACUCUGUGCCAGCAGCCGCGGUAAGACAGAGGGUGCUAACGUUGCUCGGAAUUACUGGGCGUAAAGCGCGAGUAGGUGGUUUGGUAAGUCGGGUGUGAAAGCCCAGGGCUCAACCCUGGAAGGGCACUCGAACCUGCCAGACUGGAGUAUCGGAGGGGAGAGCGGAAUUCCCGGUGUAGAGGUGAAAUUCGUAGAUAUCGGGAGGAACACCAGUGGCGAAGGCGGCUCUCUGGACGAUCACUGACACUGAGACGCGAAAGCGUGGGGAGCAAACAGG